UUCUAUGGCGGGCCGGGUGAGGAGACCUUCGGGUCUGCCGGUUUCUUGGAGGCCGGUUCGCCAGCCUCGCCGUCGGGCCCGCCACCUCG
rnacentral:antisense_RNA from 19 species